rnacentral:lncRNA from 1 species
CGGGUAUAGGUAGUUUAUUUUAUUUUGUUUUCUUUUUUAUUUGAAGAUUAGGUUAAUGGGCUACGAGGUAGAAAAUAAAAAGAGGACCCAUAGCGUCGACACACCUGAACACAAUAGACCCUAGAGUGUAAUGCUUAGUCUUAUUUGUUGAAUCUCACUAAAGUUUCUUAAUCUGUAUGUUUGUUACUGAAUUGAAUGCUUGUAACAGAGCGUCUUGAUGAGCUGAUCUGGAAUGAGUCAUCUGACAUGUGUGGUGAGGUUUUUGUGUAGUCCAUAUUUUGUACCUGUGUCUAGAACUUUCCCGGUAUGUGAGUCGAAGCGAAAUUUAAGGUGAUGCUCGGUUUAAAAAAUGAUUUCAGGAUUUUUUUUUUAUCUUUUUGAGCCUAAUUACUUAUCACAAAUAAAAAUUAUCCCAAUUUAACCCUUUUGAACCUAUAGACUUUUGUUUGCCACCCGCAUUACAAGCCUAUACCCUUUUUGUUCUUAAUUGAUACUGUUAUGAUUUGUUUACCUCUUAAAGAACUUUAGUUGUGAGAUGAGCGCUAAAAGAAGUAAGAAGGAACUAAGCGUGGGGUGGCUUUUGAGUGGAACCAAUAAAAG